rnacentral:rRNA from 1 species
GCUGACAGGUGCUGCAUGGCUGUCGUCAGCUCGUGUCGUGAGAUGUCGGUUAAGUCCGCUAACGAGCGCAACCCUCGCUGUGUGUUACAAGUGUCACACGGAACUGCCGGUCAUAAACCGGAGGAAGGUGGGGAUGACGUCAAGUCAGCAUGGCCUUUAUAUCCUGGGCUACACACACGCUACAAUGGGAAGGGACAAUAGGUUGCGAAGCCGCGAGGCGGAGCCAAUCCAGCAAAACUUCCCUCAGUUCAGAUUGCAGGCUGCAACUCGCCUGCAUGAAGUUGGAGUUGCUAGUAAACGCAGGUCAGCCAUACUGCGUUGAAUACGUUCCCGGGGCUU